rnacentral:miRNA from 1 species
UUGCACACCUCCCGGCCUAU